rnacentral:rRNA from 1 species
GGCAUCGAUGAAGAACGCAGCGAAAUGCGAUAAGUAAUGUGAAUUGCAGAAUUCCGUGAAUCAUCGAAUCUUUGAACGCACAUUGCGCCCUUUGGUAUUCCGAAGGGCAUGCCUGUUCGAGCGUCAUUGCAACCCUCAAGCACUGCUUGGUAUUGGGU